rnacentral:tRNA from 1 species
GAGGGUAUAGCUCAAGUGGCAGAGCACAUGCUUACCAUGCGUGAGGUCCUGGGUUCAAUCCCCAGUAUCUCCA